rnacentral:lncRNA from 1 species
CUCGGGGGAGGGGUGGGGGGUUGCAAACCCGAGGAGCGGUGGCAUCCGUUGCAUGAUGCAAAAAGGAUUGAUUUCAAAAGUUGCGAGUUGCAUUGGCAGCAGCCUUUGGCGCCCAGGCCACCUACUUUUCCUUGACCCGCUGGAAGGGCCGGGAAUGUUUUCCCGAACCUGCCCGGGCUCAACCGCGCUACGCUCUGCGGGACGCUGUACCUGCUCCCCGAGCGCUCGCGUCGCGUUGUCCUGGAAGACAAUGAGCGUGGAAACAAUUUGAAAAAGACAGGGAGCAGAGGAAAGACCCGGAGCAGUGUAGCCGCCUCUGCUACACUGAAAGAUUUAAAAACAACCGGCGCGAUUGAUUAAUAAUGACUUCCAUGUCUCUUCCCUUCUAUUGUUUAGCCCGGCUCGGGAGUUAAGAUGAGCCUUGAUGAAUAUGCAAACGUCCUGCAGUUUCUGGAACCUUUAAUGUGCUUGGUAGGAAGUCAGAGCUUAAGGUUCCUCAGUUACAUUGUUUGCUCUCCACAUGUCCAAGUAAACAUGGCAGCCUAAUAGCGUAUGGGUUCGAAUUAACACCGAUAGGAGAGCUUCGGCUUGUGAAAUUACUUUUUCCAGGUUUUCAACUUCCUAAUGCACUGCUGGUUGAAAUAAAGCGAAAAUGCUUUCGUACUGCAUCACUUAGGGCUUCCCUUAAAACCGAGGAGUGUGGAGGAACGCCAACCAAACUUUUCCAGAGUGGUGCAGCGUUGUCCAAAUGUAUUUCUGAGCAGAACUGUUGUUGGUAACCGAACGGUGCUUUAGGUUGCGCGUCAGCUUUGCGGGCUGCGCAGAUGCCUUUUUAAUUCUUUAAAAUUUCUGCUUGACAUUCCCCCAGGGUUUUUAUCUAAGUGAGGAUCCAAAAAGUGAUGCAACCUAGAAGACCAGGUUGAUAGCAGCUUCUCCACGCUGUGUCCUUUCUCUGUACUACCGUAAGUUAGGAAAGAAUGUGGUCGCCUGGGUUCUUUAAUGUGAUUUAUGGACUCUUGUAAGAAUGGCAUCACCUUGUGGUUGACAAACCUGCAUUUGCCUCUGAAUCACCUGGGAAGACAGGUCCACACAACCCCAGGCAACACUCCAGACUCCGGCAUCAAGGAAGAAGGGUAGAUAUCUUUAUUCCCCUCCUCCCUUCCCUUUUAAAAUUGAUUUUGUAACUUGUUGUGGGGUUUUGGUUUUGUGUGUUUGUUUUUUAGCAAAAAAAGUCACAACUAGAAAAAAAUAAUUGGGGCGAUUAGGAGGAAGAUGAUGCAACAGAAGUGAGUAGGGCCCUCUGUGAAGAUGCCUGGGUCACGCCAGGGAGUUUAGUAUUUUUGCUGUAAUCAGCAGAGCUUAUCAGAUUUGCUUUUUACAAGUUUAGCUUGUAAUGGGGGCUGUACCACAUCUGGGAGGAUGCCCUCUCCUGGAGGGGAAACCAGGACCACAUCUCCAGUUAGCAGGUAAUUGUGCUAGUCAAGCAUGGAGUCAAGGAUAUUGGAACUGAAGCAGUGGGAAAGCAGACAAGGAAAGGGAUUUGAGGUGAGUUCAUGUGUGGUUGGAGAAAGAAGCAUAAGAUGACCCCCACGUUUCUCGCUUGGGGGCCCUGGGUGGGAGGUGAUGCUACCAACUGAAAUAGGAACUGCUGAAAGACAAACAAGUUUUGGGGUGAGUUCCGGUUUGGAAAUGUUAAAUUUCAGGGGCCUCCCAGAUAUUCUAGGCAGAAGGCAGUUGGUAAAACUAGGUCUGGCGCCUGGGAUGGGGGUGAGCUCUGACUUUGAGAUGCAAAUGUGGGUGCCAUCAGCAUAUAAAUGGACUUUGACGCCUCGGAAAGUGGUGAGACGAACCAGGAGGGAGAGAGUUCAGGAAAAAAGUGAAAGAGACCUUGGACAGAGCCCUGCGGAGCUCCAAAAUGGGAUGGCUGGGCCAGCGAGCGAGAGGCUGACUGCUGCUGGGUCUGUGGGAGGUUAGCAUGCUCAGAAUCAUUCCUCCCCCAGCCCUGGGGGCUGCAGCUCCAGAACAACUUUAGUCAUAGUCUCCUGAGUGGAGGCUAUAGAUUCUUGGCUAAGCCACAAACACCUGGAUUCAUCUGGAGCUAGUCUGCAACUUUGCGGCUGGAUAUCCCACCAGAUCUCUGUCUCUCCCUUCCUUUGUUAUAAACGCCAGCCUCACUCUGUGCUUCCCUUUGUUGCCUUCUUUCUCCUGCCAUCCUUUCCAUGAGCCUUCCCCAGCGGCCUCAUCAGAGCCCCAUUCCAUUGGGAACCAUCUCCCCUGAGUUCUCAGGUCCUCCUGGCUCCACUUGAAAGAUGGUUCCCCUGGGUUGAAUUACUUGCUGGAGGUUUGUUAAAAAUACAAAUUCACCAGCCCCACUCCAAAGAUUAUAUCCAGCAGGUGUAAUGGGUUGAAUUAUGAUAAAGAUUCUUUGCUUGACCAAACUUUAGUCGGGCUCCUGAAACUUCUCCUAGGCCCAACUGUACACUUCCUUGUAAAAUCCAGUUUUGGCAAGAUGGGUAUCUGAUCACCUGGCCUGCCUUCAGCAAGAGUCCUGGUAGGUCGGUUUAGACAGGAUCCCCCUCAGCCCUGAUGUCUCUUAGUCCUUUCCCAUCCACUGACCGCCAACCUGCUCCUUGGCUGCAAAUUCCCACUUGCCCAUGCUGUAUUCAGAGUUGAGCAUAGUCUCUCUCCCCCACUGCAAAAUUCCAGCACAGUGGCCCUAUACUUAUUGCAAUAGUCCUGAAUAAAGUCUGCCUUACCAUCUUUAACAAGUGUGACAAAUAGUUUUUUCUUUAAUAAUUGUGCCCCCCUCCUACCCCCCCCCCAAAAAAGAUAUGUUGAAGUCCUAACCUCGAGUACCUAUGAAUGGGGCCUUAUUUGGAAAGAAGAUCCUUGCAGAUGUAAUCAAGUUAAGAUGAAGUCAUACUGGAUUAGGAUGGGCCCUAAAUCCAAUGAGCUAUAACAAAAGGAAGAUUUGGAGACAGAGACCCAGGGAAGAAGGCCACAUGAAGAUGAGGCAGAGAUUGGAGUCAGGCAGCUACAAGCCAAGGAACACCGAGGAUUACUGGCGACCACCAGAAGUAGGAAGAUACCCUCCCAGAAACAUCAGAGAGGCCAUGGCCCUGCCAACACCUUGAUUUGUGACUUCCGGCCUGCUGAGCUGUGAGAGAAUACAUUUCUGUUGUUUUACGCCACCCAGUCUGUGGUAUGUGUUACAGCAGCCACAGGAAACCAAUAUAGCGUGUCUGAGGUGUACGUUGGGGGACGAGGUGCUAAGAAUCCAUGCUUUGGAUGGGCUCACCUGGUGGUGGUGGUGCUUUAGGGGAACACUGCACUAAAGAAUGCUGCUUUCUCAGAAACCCAGAGGGCAGGAGGCUGCCCGUUCAUCUGCUUCCCACGUUCUGCUAGCUUCGGUGACGUUACUUUCCCUCUGUCCUGCCUUUCUCAUGUCCCGCCUGUCUUUCGGGUUCUUGCUAUCCAGCGUUACACCAUCUGAUGCCACACUGGUCACUUCCUUACGUUGUUUGAGUCAUGCUCAUUCAGAUAUGGCCCCUGAUCUGUGAUCAUGGGGGGUGGUGGGAGUGUCCAAUCAGAGCUAAGACCCGGUGGGCAAUGGACACAUCAUAUUAUUAAAUUUAGCUUUACUCCACAUAAGCUGCCCAUUCUCGUGGCUAUACUGUGAACCUCCUCAUUCCUAGAAAUCUUAAACACCAACAUCCUGUCUUCAAUCCUAUAGUCCUCUCAUUGCUUUACUCCCUGACACCUGCACAUCAACUGCAUAGUGGCCGCCAGUCUCUCUCCUUCCAUCCAGCCUGGAUCCCUUGGUCAGCUCAGCAGCCUGGUCCCCUGCACCUCCCCUUCUUUGACCACACCCACCCACAAACAUGCAGCCUUAGGUCCCUCCCACCUGCCAUGUUCUCUGCCCUUUUGCUGGGCUGGAGAAAACGUAGAACUUGGAGACCAUGCCAUUACAGAUGUGUGAUCUCCAGUGCCACCUGGGCCUUUCUGACAGCUGGAAAAUCCUUAAGUAUGUUAUUCCUAAUGUUCGUUAUUCUCCCCGAAGUUUAUACCACAGUUUACUGCCCUCAGUGGCAGAUGCAUCUCAAGAAGAAAAUGUACACCAUGGGAGGGAGCCUCCAACUUUCCCAUACCGUUCCCAUCCCACCCCUUGGACCAGCACGCCAGUGUCUGGGAGGGAGGACCACUUCUGAAUGUCCAAGGCUGGUCCCCUGCCUGUGCUCCAGCUGCCACCCUUCCAACAAUAGCUAACUUUUGUUGAGGACUUGCUACGUAUCUACGUAUGUAUCCCACUGUACAGAGUGUUUUCUGACCAUCACCUCUUAGAAUUCUGGCAACAUCCCCUUGAGGUAAGUCCUAUUGUAUAUUUUCCUUUCCUGGAGGAAAGCAGGGCUCAGACUGAUUAAGCAGCUUGCCCAAAGUCACUGUCUUACUUUGGGUCCCCCCCCCCAACCCGGGCAGAACUGGAGACAAGGACUUGGGGGAAGGAAGUCUUCAGAAGGUAGUUUCAGGAAGCACAAGUCAAGAAGUGGGCAAAAUAAGACAGGAAAGGGAGAAAGCCAAAAAGCAUGUAAAUGAUUAGGUUAGCACAGUGGGUAGUGGGGCUCAGCCCUGUUGGCGCCUCUCUCAGAAACUGUGUGGAACCCCCUCUGGUUGGCGGAAUAAUGCACCUCCUGCCCCCAGAAGAUUGUCUAUGUCCCAUUCCCCGGAACCUGUGAAUAUAUUAUGUUCCAAGGUAAAGAGGAAUUGAGUUUGCUAAUCAGUUAACCUUAAGGAGAUUAUUCUGGGUUAUAUGGGUGGGCCCAGUGUAUCCACAAGCGUCCUUAAAAGUGGAAGAGGGAAUAGAGAACAGAGCGAUGUCAGCCUGAGAAGGAUCUGGCCCGACAUCGCCGGCUUUGAAGAUGGAGGAAGGGGCAUGAAUCAAAGAAAACAGGAGCCUUCUGGAAGCUGGAAAAGGUAAGGAAACAGCUUCUCCUCUAGAGCCUCCACAAGGAAUGACCCCUGCUGGUACCUUGGUCUUGGCCCAGUGAGAUCCGUGUCAGAUUCUGAUCCGCAAAACUGUCAGAUUGUAAAUGUGUGUUGUUUCAAACUGCAAAGUUUGUGGUAAUUUGUCCCAGCAGCAAUAGAAAACGAAUACAUCUCCUUAAAAUCACGCCACUGGCAGGCUGGAAGGCUGAGGCACUCAUCCAUGGACUCUCAUCUUUCAUUGGCUGAGGGUUGCCCCUGGGGCAGUGGACGGAGACUCAGAACUUCCUGCCCUGGAGAAGCAGCCCUGGAGGACCAGGCAGGCAGGUGAUGGAGGUGGAACACUGCCAGUGGGCUGGAAACUCUCCCCAACGCUUCAGGUGAAACCAGAAGCAGGCUGGGCAUUGAUGGUGUCGACAGCCUCUGCCACAGGGCCCAGCUGUAAGCAGUCAAGCCAGGAUUGGAACGGGGUUAAGUGUGGAGCCCACGUGCCUAGCCUAGGACUUCCCUGUGGCAUUUGAGGCCAUGACAUAGGAGGCUCAAGGGCUAUUUCUACUAGACAGUGCUAUUCCGGAGGACUCCCCCAUCCCCAGAGCCCCAGACACAGACAUUCACCACUUAGGUGGCUCUCGUUGCCUCUGGCUCCACUUUUCCAGUUGCGGUUCUCACUCAUGGGUGUGCACGGAUGAUCGUAGGUGGACAAAAAGGGAGUCAACUUAAAGAAAAAUUUAAAGAAACAAGAGCACAGCCUAAAGUGAUAGCAUUGGUCAAGUAAAUAAUAGCUACAGGAUAAAUUUCAGAAAAAUACAAACAACCUGCAUGAUCCAGCUUCUCCUUUUCCUCUCUGAUCUGAUCUCCGGAAGGUGCCCGCUUUCUCUUCUUCAGCCACACAGCCAUACUGAGUGCAUCCACACCCCCAGGCUCACCUGCUCUUUCUCCACUUUGCGUCUUGGCAAGCACCAUAUCUUUGCUUGUACCACCUCGUCUCCCUUUCUGGCAAAGGAAAACCAAACUUGUAAGAUUCUGCUCCAAGAGCCUUCCCUCUGAAGAGUUCUCUGGCUACUUCGGGGGAACAACCACCCCAUCUGUGGUAGGCAGAAUAAUGGCCCCUCAAAGAUGUCCACAUCCUAAUCACCCAUGAAUAUGUUACCUUGCGCGGCAAAAGGGACUUUGCAGAUGUGACUAAGUUAAGGAGUUUUUGAUGAGAAGAUUAUCCUGCAUUAUCUGGGUGAACAAGUGCAACCACCAGCAUCUUUUUAAGGAAAAAAGGAAGACAAGAGGAUAGAAAGAGAUGUGACAAAGGAAGCAGAGGUCAGAGUGAACUGGGGCCACCAGCCAAGGAAUGUGGGCAGCUUCCAGAAACUGGAAAAGGCAAGGAAAUGGAUUCUGCCCAAGAGACUCCAGAAGGAACACAGCCCUGCCAACCCAUUUUGGUCCUCGUCGUGGAACCUAUCCUGCUGAUUUGCAGUUCUUAUUCCAUAUAACUAAUCUCUCCUCCACAAUUCCACCCCUCCUCCAGAAGCCAUGAGCUCCUUGUAGAGACUGUGUCAUGUGUAUCUUUGCGGUAGGAAUGGCAGGAGAGUGGUAUUCUGGAAUUUGGGGACAAAGAAUUUAAGAAGGUAGGAGGAGUCAACAUUGUCAAGUACUACAGAAAAGUGAGGCAAGAUAAGGACCGAAAAUAGAUCAUUGGAUUUAAGAGGUCCCUAGUGGCCUUGGGAGAAGAUACUCACAUGCAGACGCCAGAGUGGAAGAUGAUGUAGUGGGCUGAUGAGUGAGUGGGAGUUGAAGAAGUGGAGAUAAUGAGCAUAAACACCUCUUUUAAGAGAUGUGUUGGAGAAGAAGAAGAGAGGACAUUCACCUGAGAGGGAAGAGAAGGAGUUUGUUUUUUAGAACCUCAAAAUCUUGGAGAGGUAUGUACGCCAAAGCGAAGCAGUCAAAGCAGAAGAGACUAAAGAUAUGAGAAUGGGAAGUGACAGGGAGAUGAAGAUCCAAAAGACAGGGAGGAGGAGAGGGAUUCUGGCGUGCGGACCGAGGCAGAAGAGGAAGCGAGGACGGGGGCUCUGGGAGGUAAGUUUGUUGGCAGAUUAUGCAGUGUUUGUUUUGUUUCUGCUUUCUUCACUACACUGUAAGCUCUGUGUGCACAGAUUGUGGCUCUGUGCUCAACACAGAAAUAACAGUUAACACUGAAAAUCACUUGCUCUGUUCCAGACACUGUUGUAAGAGCUCUGCCUAUGUUAACUCAUUUAAUCCUCAUGACAACCCUAUGAAGUAGGUAUCAUUAUUAUGCCCGCUUUAUAGAUGAGGAAAUGGAGGCACAGGGAGGGUAAGUAACUUGUCCAACGUCACAAAGGCUGAAAGUGGAGGACUUGGAUUUGAACCCAGCCUGUCUGUCUCCCAAGUCCACACUGCACAGAUGGGGUUGCUCAAGGAGUUGUCAAGCGAGUGAGGAACGGAGCUAGCUUUUCAUGCUCCCCCACAAAUAGGGUGGGUUUGCUUUCCUGCAUCUCUAUUUCUUCCUCCCCCCUUGUGGGGCCAUCAGCAUGAUCUUCUCACACAGAUGAGGGUGAAUGGAAGGGUGGCUAUCUGCUGGACCAAGGGUGACGUCACAAAGAUGCCUGAGACCUUAUCGCUUAAUCUCCACCUAGAGACAGGAGCCCAAAAUGCCCGGCUCCGUUAGGAUAACACCUUCCCAGACACCUCCCUCUUCCCUCUUUCUCCAUCUCAGCCAGAACUAGGAUUCCCUAGGCCAUCCCUUGCUUCUCAGCAGGUUACUGGAAUGUUCCUUCCACACCACCCCAUCACCCUCUGCAGGCCUGGCUUUGCAGCCUUAGAAUUUGCUAGCAGGACUUCGGGCUGGGGGCCAAGCUCAGAACCCUCCCGAAAGUAGGUUUCUAUGGGGAAGGCAGAAAUUCAGAACCAGACCCAGGAGGGCCAGAGGUAAUCGGUUCAGCGCCUAGGAAGGCCAGAGAACCUGGGAAGGCAAGAUGGGACCUUGGCACAUCAGAUGGGAAAGCAACGUGACCUGGACUAUAUCAUGAGAGAGAGCCUGCACCUGGCACCCCUCAGUGUCUGUGCCUUCGCAGCCAGCCUUGGCCUGGUGAGCGGAUUCUGGAAAGAAGUAAGAGCCUAAGGCUAAUUUUAGGCUGCAUCUUGAUCUUUUGGGGACCCUCUCAGUUUUCCCCUAGGCCCCUGUCUGGGCUUAUUCUUGUGACUACACGUCUUUCCAGACCAAUUUAACUCUCCCAAGGACUGAGGUUCCAGAUCCCUGUCUGAGAAACUGGCUGUUUUUCAUGCUAUGAAAUUUCCAGGUGAUGCGAAUCCCAAUAAAAAAUGGAAAUAGCUGGAAGGCAAAUAAAAUUUUAUUUUCUUGCACAACAUAAACAUGCUUUCUCUCUUCUCCUAAAUAUCAUUUCUCUCAUUUCACCACUCUUGCUGGAAAAGUCACAUCAACCAUAAGCCUUAUUUUUGAGAAACUACUAGUUUGCAGACACUGAGACCAGGUUAAAACCCCAAUCAAUAAAAGAGAAUUGCUGUAAUGCCAAGUGCUGGGCUGAGGUCUCAGGGAUUUUGGGGAGCAGCAGGGAAGGGGAAUUUGUGGACCUCCUGAAAUUAUGUGCAAAAUUGUGUCCACUUGUGCAUUUCCGGGAAGAGACUUCCUAGCUUUCAUCAACUCCUCAAAGGGGUCUAUGACCCCAAAAAUGAGUGCUUUGGUGGCAAAUGCUGUGGGAGAACAGAAUUUGGAAUUGGAGGAGAAAUUUGAAAAAUAAGGAGUACAUUAUUAUUCCACUAAUUCAUUAAUGCUACCGUAAUUUCAAUAAUCAUCAUUCUCAUCAGUGGUCUUUUACAAUCUUCCGUAAAAACCUUUUUUGGCAAGAAGAAAAAGAUCAUGAGAAAUUCAAGCCAUCGCAUUGGCACUUCUGUGUUUGAUCUCGGAAGGAGUGAAUUGAUUAUUUCUAAAUGAAGGACACUCAUUGAAGUCGAUCAUAGUUAAGAAGCCCCCUCCAGGCUUCCCCUAGGGUUCCCAUGGGACACUCCUCUCCCCAUCAAGCCUGGGGCUCCCUCAGAGGCCUGCUUCCUGCAGCAUCUCCCAGAUGUGGCUCUGAGGUUGGGCUCAGGAGGGCUCAUCAAACCGGCGCCUCGUGACAGGAUGAAGGAUUUAAACUCAGUCUAAGCACUAAUGCAGGGAGGCAUCUACGCUGAUGAAGAUGGACAGAAACACGCCCCCAGUGUGGUCGGUUGAAGGGGGUACUCUCCAUGGAAAUACAUUAACAAUAGGAUGCUCUCCGAAAUUCUGGCUCUGCACCUCCCAAAAUAUAGCCACAUUCCACAAGAUCCUACUGUGCUGUGGUGUUUUCCCUGGCGAAUCCCAUUUUUCUUAAGCACAAAAUUGAUUAAUUUGGUGCCGUAAAAUGAAGAUUUCCCUUUUUGCAUCCAGAGAGUAUCAAAGACUACAAAAUUAAUUAAGUUUUCUCUUUGUCUUUUUGAUCCAGGAAAGAACACUGUGGGAAAAAGCAGAUUAUUUUUCUUUCUUGCAUUUUUCACAUCCCUCUCUCUUCCUGUCUCCACUGAUUAAAAUGAGUGAUGUUGCACAUAAUUCCAAAAAAUGCAUAGACCACCCCCUCCCAAAUCCUGAGACCUUGAUAUCCAUCCACUCGUGAUAACUUAUCCUGUUCUUCCCUUGAACAUUCCGUUCCCUCUUUUUUUUUUUAAGGAAAGCUGCUCUUGCCUUCUAGCCAGAUAUGCUCUCCCCAUUUCCAGCUUCCUGUCCUUUGGGUAUUCUGCAAUAUAAUGAAUGAACAGUCUUGAUCGCCUUGGUUCGGGUGCAUCCCUUCACAUAUUUCUGAAUUACUUGUCACUGGCUCUCCUCUGUGCCCCAGGUUUAAGAUCCUCUGCCACGGUCGCAUUGUAAUAAAUAAUGAUUGUUAGAAGCCAAAUUUUCUCUAGUAUUUGGUGCAGGGAGAAGUAAGGAAGGGAGAGAUGCAGAAGAGAAAGGUUGGGAAGACGGUGUGUGUGCAUGUAUGUUUCAGGCUUGCUGUCUAUUUCCUGCUCUAAUAAUUUGUUAAAUAAAAAAUUGGCUCCAGACUUAAGUCCUAAGUGAACUAGAGUUCACUGUUCUCCAAGCAAAGAAGCAGCUAUUUAUUCACAUUCGUUGUUCUCAAUGCUUAAUCCACGGCAGACUUUACCCUUGGCCCCCAAAUAACACCAUCUUCCUUAAUUAUCUCCUCUGGUCAGAGGCCACUUGGGAAAAGAAUCGCAAAUUGAGCUCAUCCUGCCCAACGGUUACUGUCCUCGUCUGCCACUUACACUGUUAGCAAUGUGCUUGGCAUAUGCUGAGAACGGCUCAAGGGUGGACCCAGCCUCAGCGCCUCCAGACUCGAAACUAGACAGGAUACAAGAGGAGAAAUAAUAAAUAAAUAACGGCAGAGGCAAAAAGAGGUUUCAUUUUAAAUCUCCCAGAGCCCCCACAUCUGGAACACAGGGACCAUGUCUGGUUUUGGAUGUUGUUGAGGUUUGGCCUUCUUUAGCUCGAAUUCCUCUGAGCAAAGCUGAUCCCCCUCUGUCCUUCGUGGUGAGCGAGAGUGUUUCCAUUUCGAUGCUUUGCAUGCAGAUCCAAGCAGCACAUGGGUGGCGGUACUGGAUAAGCGCUAAGUUCCUUUUCGGCCUGAAGAUUCUGUGAUCCCAUUGAGGGGAAAGUGCACCCUUGACAAUUUAUUGGUGGUAAUUUCCUGUGUUCAUUCUGGCUUCCAGUUGAUUCUACUUUUCUGUAUAUUGCUCAAAUCCAUUCACUUUUGUUCUUCUCUGCUGGUUCUUCCUAAAUUCACAUUUCAUUUGCCUGAAUGAUUUGCAAGAUCUCAGCUAUGGACUGAAGGUUUGUAACCUCCCCAAAUUCACAUAUGGAAGCGCUCCCCCCUCAAUGUGAUGGUGUUAGGAGAUGGGGCUUUUGGGAAGCGAUUAGGUUUAGAUGAGGUGUGGAGGGUGAGGGCCCCUGUGGUGGGAUUAGUGCCCGUAGAAGAGGAAGAGAACAGAGCUUUCUCUCUUUCUGCCACGUGAGGACACAGCAAGAAGGUGACCAUCUGCAAGUACGAAGAGGGGCCUCACCAGACACCAAAUCUGCAUCAUGAUCUUGGACUUCCCAGCCUCCAGAACUGAGAGAAAUAAAUAUUUGUUGUUUAAGCCCCGGAGUCUAGGGUAUUUUGAUAGAGCAGCCCGAACUGCCUAGCACUGUCUCCAGCUGCUUCCACUCUUGUUGCAGCCCUCUUACACAUCUCCCCUGUUCCAUCCUGAAGCACAAUGCAGAUAACGCCACACCCCAGCCUGAAAACCCAGAGGGCCCCUCACUGCCUAUGGAGUCAGGCCCACAUCUUUUAACCCAGGUAGCCAUGCUUGACCAGUGGUAAAUUACUCAUCAGCCCCAUUGUUAUUAACACCCAAUGUCAAGACUCUAAGACGCCACCUGGCUGCCAAAAGAAAGUCCUGCCUUUUGCAGUGCCUCCCUCUCUGAAAGUCCUGGAGAUGUCCAAGGUGCUUCUAUUUCCUGCAGGUCAAGCCUAGUUACUGGUCCCUCUGUCGCCCUUUGCACAGCCAAUGCCGGACACUCUUGACACGAAAGGUGAAUGCCAGAGACCUGCAGUGGUCAAGAACGUGAGAGCCAGUGUGUCUCCCAUUUUUUGAGCUUUAACUUAAAAACAUUAAAAACGCCACCGAUGAAACACCAAUGGUUUCCAAGUAGUUAGUAAAGAAAUUGUAUUCAUACCAAAAAAAUAAAAUAAAAAUGCCCUAAAUUGCAAACAGAAGUGGUAUAAUUAAAGUAUAUAUAUUUAAUAAAUUAAUGCUUUUCACACACACAAAAAUCAAUGCAAUAUGAUUGUACUAGUUAUAGGAUAAUUAGAGGUUUUAUAGAGGAAGAAUAAAUCUUUACACUUAUAUAAGAAAGUAUAAGAGUUUAUCUUUGUGUCCUUAGAGCAAGAGGAAUUUCUUAAAUAAGACAAAAAAACGCAAAUCAAGAGGGAAAUAGCCUUACAUUUGGCUAUAAUAAUACUUAAAACUUCUAUGUAAUAAAAAUAUACUUAAACCAAGUUAUGGGCAAGCCACAGACUGGGAGUAGAUAUUCGUAAAGCAUAAUCAACAAAGGAACAAUUUAUAGAAUAUGUAAAGAAUGCAUACAAAUCAAUAAGAAGAAAAAAACAAUCCAAUAGAAAAAAUGGUGAAGUUCCAAAGAGGGAAUUCACAAAAGAGGACAUCUGAGUGGCUAAUAAAUACAUGAAAAGACGUUCAAUCUCAUCAGUAAUCAGGAGAAUGAAAAUUAAAACGAGAUGCUAUUUUAAAGCCACUAGAUUGGCAAGAAUUAAAAGUCCAGCAAAACUAAAUGCUGUAAAAAUGUGGGGGAAUUGGGGCUGUCUUAUGGUGGUAGCAGGAAUGGAAGACAUUAAAACCUUUUUGGAGGGCAAGUGAAUGUUCUCCGGUAAAGUCAAAGAUGUAUAUAUCCUCUGACUCAUUAAUUCCUCUUCCAGGAGAAUGUGCACAAAGAGACACAUACAAGGAUAGUUGUCAUAGCUAAAAAUGGGAAAUCAUUUAAAUUUCCAUCAAUACAGGAGUGGGAAAAUGUUGCAUAUUCAUAUCAUGGAAUACUAUAUAGCAGUUAAAAUGACUUAAAAACCCUCUAAAUAUAUCAACAUGAAGGAAUCUUAAAAUGUAACGUUAAUGGAGUUAUUGUUAAACAGGUAUGAAGUUUCAUUCCAGGAAGAUGAAAAAGUUUGGGACAGGGCUGGUGGUGAUGGUCACACAAGGUGAAUGUGGUUAAUGCCAUUGAACUGUAUACUUAGAAAUGGUUAAAAUGGUAAAUUUUAUGUUAUGUAUAUUUUACCACAUUAAAAAAGAAAAUCAUAAUGAACAGAAAAAGUGCACCGUGAAAUGCAUUAGGUGGCACAUUCAUGACAUUUAAAGACUUUAGAUAAUACUACUACAUACUUAUGGAAUCUGCAUGUAUAUGAUAAAUAUAUAAAGACGAAGAUGAGAAGGAGUCUCAGAUGCAAGACAUUGACUUCUGGGAACGAGAGGAGGAAAGUCUGACUUGGUGGCUAUGCUUGAAUUCUAUCUGUG